AAUGAAGAGUUUGGUUGUAGCUGGUCUAUUUAUUUAGGCAUGUGCACACCUUUCUCUUUCAUCCCACACACACCUGUGAACUUGUGAGACAGUUGGGGAAUUUAUUUGUUAUUUUUUGUAAUAAAAUUAUAAUAAGUCAUUGAACCCUUCUGUCUACUCAACUCAUAUAAACUCAAUUUAUUUUAAAUGAAUGUAAUGGAUGUAACACAUCUCAUACUAAGUUUCAACAACGGAUCUCUUGGCUCUCGCAUCGAUGAAGAACGCAGCGAAAUGCGAUAAGUAAUGUGAAUUGCAGAAUUCAGUGAAUCAUCGAAUCUUUGAACGCACCUUGCGCUCCUUGGUAUUCCUUGGAGCAUGCCUGUUUGAGUAUCAUGAAAUCUUCAAAAUCAAACUUUUUGUUAACUCAAUUAGUCUGAUUUUGGUAUUGAAGGUCUUUGCAGCUUCACACCUGCUCCUCUUUGUGUAUUAGCUGGAUCUCAGUGUUAUGCUUGGUUCCACUCAGCGUGAUAAAUUAUCUAUCGCUGAGGACACCGUAAAAAGUGGCCAAGGUAAAUGCAGAUGAACCGCUUCUAAUAGUCCAUUGACUUGGACACUAUUUUUAUGAUCUGAUCUCAAAUCAGGUAGGACUACCCGCUGAACUUA
rnacentral:rRNA from 1 species